CCCUUAGAUGUUCUGGGCCGCACGCGCGCUACAAUGGUCUUCGCAAACGGAUGCAUUCUCGAAGGAGAAUGCCAAUCUUGGAAUCUAUGCCUUGGUCGGGACAGUUGCUUGCAAUUUUUCGACUCGAACCAGGAAUUCCUUGUAAUCGUGAUUCAUCACAUCACGAUGAAUACGUCCCUGCCCUUUGUACACACCGCCCGUCGCUCCUACCGAUCGAAGAGUUAGGUGAAUUGUUUUGAUCGAUAAGAUUUGACUAUGGUCAACUCUCAUUGUGAAAUUCUGUGAAUCUGACUGUUUAGAGGAAGGAAAAGUCGUAACA
rnacentral:rRNA from 1 species